UAAUACGUAGGGUGCGAGCGUUGUCCGGAAUUAUUGGGCGUAAAGAGCUCGUAGGCGGUCUGUCGCGUCUGCUGUGAAAACCCGAGGCUCAACCUCGGGCCUGCAGUGGGUACGGGCAGACUAGAGUGCGGUAGGGGAGAAUGGAAUUCCUGGUGUAGCGGUGGAAUGCGCAGAUAUCAGGAGGAACACCGAUGGCGAAGGCAGUUCUCUGGGCCGUAACUGACGCUGAGGAGCGAAAGCGUGGGGAGCGAACAGGAUUAGAUACCCUGGUAGUCCACGCCGUAAACGUUGGGCGCUAGAUGUGGGGACCAUUCCACGGUUUCCGUGUCGCAGCUAACGCAUUAAGCGCCCCGCCUGGGGAGUACGGCCGCAAGGCUAAAACUCAAAGGAAUUGACGGGGGCCCGCACAAGCGGCGGAGCAUGCGGAUUAAUUCGAUGCAACGCGAAGAACCUUACCAAGGCUUGACAUACACGAGAACGCCCUAGAAAUAGGGAACUCUUUGGACACUCGUGAACAGGUGGUGCAUGGUUGUCGUCAGCUCGUGUCGUGAGAUGUUGGGUUAAGUCCCGCAACGAGCGCAACCCUCGUUCUAUGUUGCCAGCGCGUAAUGGCGGGAACUCAUAGGAGACUGCCGGGGUCAACUCGGAGGAAGGUGGGGAUGACGUCAAAUCAUCAUGCCCCUUAUGUCUUGGGCUUCACGCAUGCUACAAUGGCCGGUACAAAGGGCUGCAAUACCGCAAGGUGGAGCGAAUCCCAAAAAGCCGGUCUCAGUUCGGAUUGAGGUCUGCAACUCGACCUCAUGAAGUCGGAGUCGCUAGUAAUCGCAGAUCAGCAACGCUGCGGUGAAUACGUUCCCGGGCCUUGUACACACCGCCCGUCAAGUCAUGAAAGUCGGUAACACCCGAAGCCGGUGGCCCAACCCUUGUGGAGGGAGCCGUCGAAGGUGGGAUCGGUGAUUAGGACUAAGUCGAAUCAAGGAGCC
rnacentral:rRNA from 1 species